rnacentral:lncRNA from 1 species
AAUAUUCUAUAUUUUUAAACUUCUCGUUGGAACACGUGAAUAAUUUAAUUUUUGAGAAUGAAGGUUUCAUUGCAAAUUUGGAGAAUGAAUCAUUCUCUUUUUUAUCCAUAUCUAUUUUAGGGAAUGAGAUGAGGAAGUUGUUGGACCUAAAAAAGGCUCAAUAUUCCUCAACCUUGAGAAAAUCGAGAAAAUAGGAAAGCUAUUAGAAAUACUCUUAGUGUUUCGACGUUUAGAUAUAGAGAAGCUUUCAAUCUGCAUUUAAAUCACAGAGAUGGUAAAACGGUCAUGAAUUGUGCAUGUAGCACAAAUAGAGCAUUUCACACGCACAAGUCAUAUUAGGUAUUUCAAAAAAGUAACGUCUUAUCAACUUGUACCUUGAUGCUCCUUAUAAGGUCACAAGCAAAGUGAUUGGGCUAAGGAUACACAUAUAUGUCACAUCCCGACCCUUAUAUUUUUACCUUAUUUACUAGCGUGAUGAUAAUAAGAAUUUUACCGUCUUGAUCAUGAGUAAAUAGUUUAAUUGGUCCCUAGAGGGGUUUCGGGGACGAUUAUGUGCGGAGGAUUAUUCGUAUGAGGAAAAUACGACGACGGUAAAAAUGGUAAUUUUAGCUAGUAAAAGGUAAUUUUUAUUCGGGUAUUAUUUUUCGGGGUGUUUUUAUUUUGGAAGUUUGGGUUAAAAAGGGGUGUUGGGUCGGCUGGGCCGAGCCCAACCCAUUUCUUUCUUCUUUCUCUUCUCCCUCUCUCCCGAUUCUCUCUCCUCCCACCCGAUUUUCUUCUCACUACACCCAGCAGAAUUCCGGCCGUCCUCCCGCCGCCGUCCGACCUCCGUUCGCCGCCGGACCGGUCCCGUUCGGUCGGUCUCCCUCCCAGCAACNNNN